rnacentral:tRNA from 1 species
AUUUAUAUAGUUUAAAAAAAACUCUACAUUUUCAAUGUAAUAUUAAAUAAUAUUUUAUAAAUU